AUGCUCAGGAGGCAUAUAGGAGACGGUUUAUGGCGGAUCAGGCUGGGACUUCUCGACAAGGUGGAGCUGGUGAUGAGGAUGAUGAUGAUCGGGACUGAUUUUAUUUUUUUAACAUU